CCCUUAGAUGUUCUGGGCUGCACGCGCGCUACACUGAAGCUAUCAACACGUUUUCCCUCCCUGAGAAGGGCGGGUAACCUUUUGAAUCAGCUUCGUGGUAGGGAUCGGGGCUUGCAAUUGUUCCCCGUGAACCAGGAAUUCCUAGUAGACGCGAGUCAUAAGCUCGCAUCGAUUAAGUCCCUGCCCUUUGUACACACCGCCCGUCGCUACUACCGAUUGAACGUUUUAGUGAGGCAUUUGGACCGACGCAUCUCAGUUUAACCGCUGGUUUGUGUUGGAAAGACUUCCAAACUUGAGCGUUUAGAGGAAGUAAAAGUCGUAACA
rnacentral:rRNA from 1 species